rnacentral:rRNA from 1 species
UACGGAGGGUGCAAGCGUUGCUCGGAAUUACUGGGCGUAAAGCGCGUGUAGGCGGUUUCGUGUGUCUGAUGUGAAAUCCCCGGGCUCAACCCGGGAAGUGCAUUGGAAACUGCGAGACUAGAGUCCCGGAGAGGAAGGUGGAAUUCCAGGUGUAGCGGUGAAAUGCGUAGAUAUUGUGAGGAACACUAGUGGCGAAGGCGAGACUCUGGACAGUUCCUGACGCUGAGGCACGAAGGCCAGGGGAGCAAACGGG